AGCUGGGAAAACUGAAGAUCUGAGGACACCAAAAAGACCCUCAGAAGCAGAAGAGCCACAGGAUGAAACGGGUCCAGGUCUCCAUAGCAACCCUGGAGGAGAGGCCUGCAGGGUCGAUGCCUGGUCCUCAGCAGGCUACAGCAUCGGAUGUCUGCGAGGAUCUCACAGUAGAGACAGAAUUCCAAAUCAGGCUUAGCCACAGCUAGAGCCUGGUGCGAUAAGAUGCCUGGAUGGAGACCAAGGCUUGAGAGAGGCAAAGGAAUGAGUGGGAAUGAGUGGAGAGAAAACAAUGAGAACCAGGAAGAGGAGAUGAGUGAGAGGAGACUGUUCAACACUCACACUUCAAACCUGCGUGCUGAGACUCCCUGGCACCAGCCCGGUGGUGCUGGCCUCCUGAGUUGCUUUCUGUUUUAGGGUUGGUGUUUGCAGGAUUUGAGAAUCCAUUUAGAUAAUUCCCAUAAGA